GAUGAACGCUGGCGGCGUGCUUAACACAUGCAAGUCGAACGAUGAUGCCCAGCUUGCUGGGUGGAUUAGUGGCGAACGGGUGAGCAACACGUGAGUAACCUGCCCUUGACUCUGGGAUAAGCCUGGGAAACUGGGUCUAAUACCGGAUACGACCAUCUGGCGCAUGUCAUGGUGGUGGAAAGCUUUUGUGGUUUUGGAUGGACUCGCGGCCUAUCAGCUUGUUGGUGGGGUAAUGGCCUACCAAGGCGACGACGGGUAGCCGGCCUGAGAGGGUGACCGGCCACACUGGGACUGAGACACGGCCCAGACUCCUACGGGAGGCAGCAGUGGGGAAUAUUGCACAAUGGGCGCAAGCCUGAUGCAGCGACGCCGCGUGAGGGAUGACGGCCUUCGGGUUGUAAACCUCUUUCAGUAGGGAAGAAGCGAAAGUGACGGUACCUGCAGAAGAAGCGCCGGCUAACUACGUG
rnacentral:rRNA from 1 species